GAUUCUGGCUCAGGAUGAACGCUAGCUACAGGCUUAACACAUGCAAGUCGAGGGGCAGCAUUAUCGAAGCUUGCUUGAUAGAUGGCGACCGGCGCACGGGUGAGUAACGCGUAUCCAACCUUCCCCUUAGUAGGGCAUAGCCCGUAGAAAUGCGGAUUAAUACCCUAUGUUGUAUCAUGAGGACAUCUGAAUAAUACCAAAGGUUCACCGCUAAGGGAUGGGGAUGCGUCUGAUUAGGUUGUUGGCGGGGUAACGGCCCACCAAGCCAUCGAUCAGUAGGGGUUCUGAGAGGAAGGUCCCCCACAUUGGAACUGAGACACGGUCCAAACUCCUACGGGAGGCAGCAGUGAGGAAUAUUGGUCAAUGGGCGAGAGCCUGAACCAGCCAAGUAGCCGUGCAGGAUGACGGCCCUAUGGGUUGUAAACUGCUUUUAUACAGGGAUAAAGUCGGGGACGUGUCCCCGUUUGUAGGUACUGUAUGAAUAAGGACCGGCUAAUUCCGUGCCAGCAGCUGC
rnacentral:rRNA from 1 species